CCUACGGGAGGCAGCAGUGGGGAAUAUUGGACAAUGGGCGAAAGCCUGAUCCAGCCAUGCCGCGUGUGUGAAGAAGGCCUUCGGGUGGUAAAGCACUUUCAGUGGGGAAGAAAGCCUUGGGGCUAAUACCCUCGAGGAAGGACAUCACCCACAGAAGAAGCACCGGCUAACUCCGUGCCAGCAGCCGCGGUAAUACGGAGGGUGCGAGCGUUAAUCGGAAUUACUGGGCGUAAAGCGCGCGUAGGCGGUCUGAUAAGCCGGUUGUGAAAGCCCCGGGCUCAACCUGGGAACGGCAUCCGGAACUGUCAGGCUAGAGUGCAGGAGAGGAAGGUAGAAUUCCCGGUGUAGCGGUGAAAUGCGUAGAGAUCGGGAGGAAUACCAGUGGCGAAGGCGGCCUUCUGGACUGACACUGACGCUGAGGUGCGAAAGCGUAGGUAGCAAACAGGAUUAGAUACCCCUGUAGUC
rnacentral:rRNA from 1 species